rnacentral:rRNA from 1 species
GUCGAGGGGUAUAGUUCUUCGGAAUUAGAGACCGGCGCACGGGUGCGUAACGCGUAUGCAAUCUACCUUUCACAGAGGGAUAGCCCAGAGAAAUUUGGAUUAAUACCUCAUAGUAUAGUGAUACCGCAUGGUACUACUAUUAAAGUCACAACGGUGAAAGAUGAGCAUGCGUCCCAUUAGCUAGUUGGUAAGGUAACGGCUUACCAAGGCUACGAUGGGUAGGGGUCCUGAGAGGGAGAUCCCCCACACUGGUACUGAGACACGGACCAGACUCCUACGGGAGACAGCAGUGAGGAAUAUUGGACAAUGGGCGCAAGCCUGAUCCAGCCAUGCCGCGUGCAGGAUGACGGUCCUAUGGAUUGUAAACUGCUUUUGCACAGGAAGAAACAACUCUACGUGUAGAGUCUUGACGGUACUGUGAGAAUAAGGAUCGGCUAACUCCGUGCCAGCAGCCGCGGUAAUACGGAGGAUCCAAGCGUUAUCCGGAAUCAUUGGGUUUAAAGGGUCCGUAGGCGGUUUGGUAAGUCAGUGGUGAAAGCCCAUCGCUCAACGGUGGAACGGCCAUUGAUACUGCCAGACUUGAAUUAUUAGGAAGUAACUAGAAUAUGUAGUGUAGCGGUGAAAUGCUUAGAGAUUACAUGGAAUACCAAUUGCGAAGGCAGGUUACUACUAAUGGAUUGACGCUGAUGGACGAAAGCGUGGGUAGCGAACAGGAUUAGAUACCCUGGUAGUCCACGCCGUANACGAUGGAUACUAGCUGUUGGGAGCGAUCUCAGUGGCUAAGCGAAAGUGAUAAGUAUCCCACCU